GACAGAGUAGGUAAAAGGCGUUAAGUGUUAAGGGAUGGGAAGUUGUCCUUAAACGAAUAUUAUUUUUGCGUCCUUUUACUGCUUAUCCUUUU
rnacentral:ncRNA from 2 species